rnacentral:tRNA from 1 species
AAGGUGCUAGUAAAAGGCUAUUACAAUGCCUUGUCAAGGCAUCAUUGUGGGUUAAAACCCCGCGCACCUUA